GCGAAAUCCAUUCAUUUCUUCAUGUUAAUUCAGUCCAUUUCUAGUCAGAGUUUCAUUGCUGCAUGCGACAUUCAGAUCAGGAGAUUAGUUAGUGUCGACGUGAUCAUAAUGCCCUUUUCCCCUAAAUGUUCUUGAGCAGUUUAGAACUAAUUGACUGUACCCAUGCGUAGUUGCGUUAAGUGGCUCAGUGCUGGAAUGCAUGGACAGUGACCGCAAGUUUGCACUUACAUUUUAGGCACGAGAUCAGGCGCAAACGUCGUCCUUGAUCUCUCUUGCUCUGCAAACAAUGGCAAGAAGCGAUUGCAGUUAGUCUCCAUAGUGUUUACGUAAUCUGUUUCAAGUUUCAGCAAGCAAGAUCGAAUCAUAGCCAUCUCCAGAGUGGCUCAGUAGUCGGUACCUGCAUGCUGCAAACGUUGGAACUUGGAACCUUGAAACGUGUAGAGUCCCCCAAUCUUGCUGUAAAACCUGGAGUUUACUCCCGCUCGUCAAUUACUUGUUGACCGAC
rnacentral:lncRNA from 1 species